AGAGUUUGAUCCUGGCUCAGGACGAACGCUGGCGGCGCGCCUAACACAUGCAAGUCGAACGAGCGAGAGAGAGCUUGCUUUCUCGAGCGAGUGGCGAACGGGUGAGUAACGCGUGAGGAACCUGCCUCAAAGAGGGGGACAACAGUUGGAAACGACUGCUAAUACCGCAUAAGCCCACGGGUCGGCAUCGACCAGAGGGAAAAGGAGCAAUCCGCUUUGAGAUGGCCUCGCGUCCGAUUAGCUAGUUGGUGAGGUAACGGCCCACCAAGGCGACGAUCGGUAGCCGGACUGAGAGGUUGAACGGCCACAUUGGGACUGAGACACGGCCCAGACUCCUACGGGAGGCAGCAGUGGGGAAUAUUGCACAAUGGGGGAAACCCUGAUGCAGCGACGCCGCGUGGAGGAAGAAGGUCUUCGGAUUGUAAACUCCUGUUGUUGAGGAAGAUAAUGACGGUACUCAACAAGGAAGUGACGGCUAACUACGUGCCAGCAGCCGCGGUAAAACGUAGGUCACAAGCGUUGUCCGGAAUUACUGGGUGUAAAGGGAGCGCAGGCGGGAAGACAAGUUGGAAGUGAAAUCCAUGGGCUCAACCCAUGAACUGCUUUCAAAACUGUUUUUCUUGAGUAGUGCAGAGGUAGGCGGAAUUCCCGGUGUAGCGGUGGAAUGCGUAGAUAUCGGGAGGAACACCAGUGGCGAAGGCGGCCUACUGGGCACCAACUGACGCUGAGGCUCGAAAGUGUGGGUAGCAAACAGGAUUAGAUACCCUGGUAGUCCACACCGUAAACGAUGAUUACUAGGUGUUGGAGGAUUGACCCCUUCAGUGCCGCAGUUAACACAAUAAGUAAUCCACCUGGGGAGUACGACCGCAAGGUUGAAACUCAAAGGAAUUGACGGGGGCCCGCAC
rnacentral:rRNA from 1 species